GAGGAAGGAUCGGUGAAUGAGAGGUUACCGACGCAUCUGUGUGCGACCAACCGGUUCCCGAGUAAGAUGAAUAACUAUUAUUUGUCGCUGGAGUACCUACUGCUGGUGAGGGAUGUGCUAGAAGGGACCGACGAGAUGGAGAGGCUGUUGGAUUCUUGCUUUGGACAGUAUUUUAGGUUAUCGGUGAGGAAGUGUACUUUUUCGACGGAGGUGCUAGAUGAUGAGCAUGAUUCUUAGGCUUACAGCUGAUUGUGCAAUUUAUGAUGGAAUAUGGGGAGGAUUGUUGUUUUGAAGAUAGAGAUUGUUGUUUGUUCAUGGACAAAAGUCAUAAAUCUUCAUUUUUUUUUAUU